UUGCCAUGAUGGUUACAUUUUUCGUCAACAGCAUUUCACGCAGUGAAUGAUGAUGCUUCAGGUCUGAGCAA
rnacentral:snoRNA from 1 species